rfam:Myotis brandtii contig153591, whole genome shotgun sequence.
GCCCAUUUGGCUCAGUGGAUAGAGUGUUGGCCUGAGGACCGAAGGGUCCUGGGUUCAAUUCCAGUUAAGGGCA